rnacentral:rRNA from 1 species
ACUCAAAUGAAUAGACGGGGGCCCGCACAAGCGGUGGAACAUGUGGUUUAAUUCGAUGCAACGCGAAGAACCUUACCUGGGCUUGACAUCUAGCGAACCUUCCAGAGAUGGAGGGGUGCCUUCGGGAACGCUAAGACAGGUGGUGCACGGUUGUCGUCAGCUCGUGUCGUGAGAUGUUGGGUUAAGUCCCGCAACGAGCGCAACCCUCGUUGCCUGUUGCUACAUGCUGUAAAGUGAUGAGCACUCAGGCGAGACUGCCGGUGACAAACCGGAGGAAGGUGGGGAUGACGUCAAAUCAUCAUGCCCCUUAUGUCCAGGGCUACACACGUGUUACAAUGGGACAGGACAACGGGCAGCCAGCCAGCAAUGGUGAGCUAAUCCCUUAAACCUGCCCUCAGUUCGGAUUGGAGUCUGCAACUCGACUCCAUGAAGUCGGAAUCGCUAGUAAACGCAGAUCAGCCAUGCUGCGUUGAAUACGUUCCCGGGCCUUGCACACACCGCCCGU